GGCCUCAGGCAGGAACAAGAUCUCCUAGCACAGCAUGGAAAGACCAUCCCUGCCCUGAAACAGCUUACCCUCUAAAAAGACAAGGUGGAGAAGGGGUGAAGUUUCCAAGCAUGAAGGUCAGGGCAAAGAUGGGAGCGAGUCAUGGUCUGAAAAAAUACUUGGUGGAGCUGAAGGACUGACUCCUACCACAGCUCUUCUUGGAGACGGGUGAUCUUUGCUAAUCUUAUUGACAUAUAUAUCUACCAUCAAUCUUGGGCAUUGAAGAACCUGGACCAUCGGACUCAUUUGGCAAGCCAGAGCCCUUUGACUCUUACCACUGGGUCCUCAAGGAAGGGUGUAAGUAUGAAGAUUUAAGAGCUUGUGCAAAGAAUGAUACCACAGA